rnacentral:rRNA from 1 species
AUACGGAGGGUGCGAGCGUUAUCCGGAUUCAUUGGGUUUAAAGGGUGCGUAGGCGGAAGGAUAAGUCAGGGGUGAAAGUUUGCCGCUCAACGGUAAAAUUGCCUUUGAUACUGUUUUUCUUGAGUGAACGCGAGGUAUGCGGAAUGAGUAGUGUAGCGGUGAAAUGCUUAGAUAUUACUCAGAACACCGAUUGCGAAGGCAGCAUACUAGAGUUUAACUGACGCUGAUGCACGAAAGCGUGGGUAGCGAACAGGAUUAGAAACCCCGGUAGUCC